AUUGAACGCUGGCGGAAUGCUUUACACAUGCAAGUCGAACGGCAGCACGGGGGCAACCCUGGUGGCGAGUGGCGAACGGGUGAGUAAUACAUCGGAACGUGCCCGGUCGUGGGGGAUAACGUAGCGAAAGUUACGCUAAUACCGCAUACGAUCUGAGGAUGAAAGCGGGGGACCUUCGGGCCUCGCGCGAUCGGAGCGGCCGAUGUCAGAUUAGGUAGUUGGUGGGGUAAAGGCCUACCAAGCCGACGAUCUGUAGCUGGUCUGAGAGGACGACCAGCCACACUGGGACUGAGACACGGCCCAGACUCCUACGGGAGGCAGCAGUGGGGAAUUUUGGACAAUGGGCGCAAGCCUGAUCCAGCCAUUCCGCGUGCAGGACGAAGGCCUUCGGGUUGUAAACUGCUUUUGUAUGGAACGAAAAGGCUCUGACUAAUACCUGGGGCUCAUGACGGUACCGUAAGAAUAAGCACCGGCUAACUACGUG
rnacentral:rRNA from 1 species